UUAGCGUCGGGACUCUUGACGUCACUUUUGACGCUCAGGGACGGGAUGUGCCGACUGACAUGCGGCACAAGAAAUGGGACAGUUAGUUAGAUCUAGGGAAAGAUCAUGGGUGGGGUUCCAAAAUGUAAGUUUCAGUGACACGUGAGACAAGAACGGGACACAACCCCCUGUCUCCUGGGUGAAAGUCCUGUUUUUGUUUGACCCAUC